GCUGGGAACAGUGGUGCACGCCUGUAAUCCCAGCAGCUUGGGAGGCUGAGACAGGAGGAUUGUGAGUUCAAAGCCAGCCUCAGCAAAAAGCAAGCCACUAAGCAACUUUGUGAGACCCUGUUUCUC
rnacentral:sRNA from 1 species